rnacentral:rRNA from 1 species
CCUACGGGGGGCUGCAGUGGGGAAUUUUGGACAAUGGGGGCAACCCUGAUCCAGCCAUGCCGCGUGCGGGAAGAAGGCCUUCGGGUUGUAAACCGCUUUUAGUCGGGAAGAAAAGGCGCCGGAUAACACCCGGCGUUCUUGACGGUACCGGCGGAAUAAGCACCGGCUAACUACGUGCCAGCAGCCGCGGUAAUACGUAGGGUGCGAGCGGGCAUCGAGCGUGCGGGGCGGAAACCGUGCGCAGGCGGUGAAAGCCCCGGGCUCAACCUGGGAAUGGCCGUGGAAACUGGCGGGCUGGAGUGCGGCAGAGGGGGGUGGAAUUCCGCGUGUAGCAGUGAAAUGCGUAGAGAUGCAGAGGAACACCGAUGGCGAAGGCAGCCCCCUGGGCCGACACUGACGCUCAGGCACGAAAGCGUGGGGAGCAAACAGGAUUAGAUACCCCAGUAGUC